ACCUGCUGCUUCCUGCAUAUUUUUCAGAAGAUGGAGUAGUGUCUGGUGCUUAACGGAACACCAGAUGCUUUUGAUAGGCCAUCACAGCAAGAUCUGAGGAAGAGGUAAGACAGACUGAUUGACAUGCACAUAUGGAUGAUGCUGGGCUCAGACUUGAGUCCGCUCAGAUGCACUAGUUAUCUCCGAGCUUCGGGCUCUGUGUCUUUGUUCAAAUGGGGACUCUCAUUUUCGGGGUUCUAUAGAAAUGAAUGACAAAGGGAUAGUUCGCUUGUGCCCAUAAACAAAUGCCCCACAGGAGAGCUGCCUAUCCUCCCUUGUGGUUAUCACGAUGCACUCUGGGGUGGGCACCUGUAAUUCUCAUCUCAUAACCACAGAAACAACAAAUGGUACUCAAGAGCAGGCUUGUCCACCGUCCCCCUCAAAGGAGGAAUUUACUCUUCAAAGUCUACAGCCCCCUCCUCCAUCCUUCUCUGUCUCUUUCACCUCCCUACCCGUGUUUCAAAGACAUUCUAGAGCUUUCUGUCAGGCAUUGUGGGAAAACCAUGCCUCCUGGAGCUCAUCUACCCAGAUCCUUUUUGACCGAUCUGUGAACGUUGUCUGUUGGGAAGGUCUAGUAGCAAGAGGCUAGCUACUCAACGGGACAGCAUAAUUUUCUUAUUAAAACUGAGUUCUGCC
rnacentral:lncRNA from 1 species